rnacentral:rRNA from 1 species
AUCUAUACGGUGAAACUGCGAAUGGCUCAUUAAAUCAGUUAUCGUUUAUUUGAUAGUACCUUACUACUUGGAUAACCGUGGUAAUUCUAGAGCUAAUACAUGCUAAAAACCCCGACUUCGGGAGGGGUGUAUUUAUUAGAUAAAAAACCAACGCCCUUCGGGGCUUCUUGGUGAUUCAUGAUAACUUAACGAAUCGCAUGGCCUUGCGCCGGCGAUGGUUCAUUCAAAUUUCUGCCCUAUCAACUUUCGAUGGUAGGAUAGUGGCCUACCAUGGUAUCAACGGGUAACGGGGAAUUAGGGUUCUAUUCCGGAGAGGGAGCCUGAGAAACGGCUACCACAUCCAAGGAAGGCAGCAGGCGCGCAAAUUACCCAAUCCCGACACGGGGAGGUAGUGACAAUAAAUACUGAUACAGGGCUCUUUUGGGUCUUGUAAUUGGAAUGAGUACAAUUUAAAUCCCUUAACGAGGAACAAUUGGAGGGCAAGUCUGGUGCCAGCAGCCGCGGUAAUUCCAGCUCCAAUAGCGUAUAUUAAAGUUGUUGCAGUUAAAAAGCUCGUAGUUGAACCUUGGGCCUGGCUGGCCGGUCCGCCUCACCGCGUGCACUGGUCCGGCCGGGCCUUUCCUUCUGGGGAGCCGCAUGCCCUUCACUGGGUGUGUCGGGGAACCAGGACUUUUACUUUGAAAAAAUUAGAGUGUUCAAAGCAGGCCUUUGCUCGGAUACAUUAGCAUGGAAUAAUAGAAUAGGACGUGCGGUCCUAUUUUGUUGGUUUCUAGGACCGCCGUAAUGAUUAAUAGGGAUAGUCGGGGGCAUCAGUAUUCAAUUGUCAGAGGUGAAAUUCUUGGAUUUAUUGAAGACUAACUACUGCGAAAGCAUUUGCCAAGGAUGUUUUCAUUAAUCAGUGAACGAAAGUUAGGGGAUCGAAGACGAUCAGAUACCGUCGUAGUCUUAACCGUAAACUAUGCCGACUAGGGAUCGGGCGAUGUUAUCAUUUUGACUCGCUCGGCACCUUACGAGAAAUCAAA